UAACACCUUCCCCUUGGGAUAAUUUCAAGCUCUUACACUAUCUGUGGUUACUAAACAUAGUAAUAUAUGAACCCUAUAGGUUCCCUAGUUCACCUUAAACCGUUAGGUGACAACUCUUAAAAAAAAAGCAAACCCUCUUCUCGAAAGGAAAGAGUUGUCCCAUACCAAAAAAUAUUAUAAACCCGAUUUCCGCGGAAGGAACAACGAGGGGUGCGACAACCAUUGUAGAUGUCGUCCCAAGUAGUCAUUGGAUACUUUAUUAAUUGAUUCAGAAGCUUUCUGGCCUCACUCAAACCUUCUCUCCUUAACCAAUUCUGAAAGGCUGCCAAGAUAUCUUUUCGGAAACAUUUGGUAAGGUCAUCCUCACACUGUUCAAUUGGGCGAUGAAGUCCCUCAAUCCCUAUCUUAGGGAUUGCUUAAUGGAUAAGAUGUCAUUUACUCUUGUUUCAACAUUCUUAGCCACGACAUGGGCUAUCAAAAAUUUGUCAUCUAUCUCCUACAAUUCUUCUAUAUAUCGGGAUGGUAACUAUGAAUACUAUAUCAACACCCCUCAAGUGAAGGUAUCGCUAAUUGUUUUUAGCAAGAUUGAGGACACCUAGUAUUUGGUUAGGUCAUUUCCUUUCACAGCAGUAACGUAGUGAGUCACAUGAUCUUCAAGGUCGGUCAUCAUGUCGCAGGUUGUGAGAUAUGGGGGCAUCUUGAAGGUCUUUGGUAUAUAAUACGAGAUCUCUUCUUUGUUUUACGGUUGUUCCACAAAUAUUCUUACAUCUCUUUUUGGUAAUAAUUUAGGGGCACCGUGUAUUUUGUCUACCCGUUCUCGGUGCUCUCUCAUUUGGUAUUUUAGUGCUUUGUUCUCCUUUUCCACUUUCUCCAUUAUUUAUAGCAUGGCAAGGACGAUGUCACAUGCAUUGUCAGUAAUCGUAUCAGUUUUACUUGGCGUCAGGCGGUCUACUUGGUCGUUUUGUUGGUUCCACAUUGUAUUGCAUGGAUUAUCGUGGUUUCUGUGGUCCAACAUGGAUCUUGUUUACUGAGUAUGCUGACUAGAGUGUCAGUUAGAUAUGCUUCAAGGAGAUUUUUCCUAAUAGGUAGCUCCUUUUCUGCCGUGGAUAUGGAGACUCAUUUCCCAUUUCUGUAAUAAUAAAUGAUAUACGCUGGCAUUUAUGUAAAUAAAUGCAAGUGAGGUAACCUAAAAAGGGCAAGAUUCUAUUGUUUUAUCUUGACAAUGGUGAAUGAU
rnacentral:lncRNA from 1 species